UAUGGCCAUAUCACUUUGAAACAUCGGUUCCUGUACGAUUACCGAAGUUAAGCAAAAUCGACCCUGGUCAGUACCUAGAUGGGUGACUGCUUGGGAAUGACACCUGCUGUAA
rnacentral:rRNA from 1 species